rnacentral:piRNA from 1 species
UUGUGUUCUUGAGUAGAUAGCUAGUCAAU